GGCACCUUUGGGGUUUGUGGUAUAUGCUCAAUAUAUCCUUGCUAAGGGCUGUAUCCAGGCACUCGGAGAUGCGUCGUGCAUAAGAACAGCCCGUAGCCGUGGUAUAUUGGCCAUAUACCACAUCCCCUUGGGUAUUAUUGCUUAAAUACAAUAAACAUCCCGAAGAGAGAAGAUUGUCGUGGACCUUCUCGCUUUAUCACCAGUUGAUUUUGGCGGGCUUUUAAGACUGCUCCUAGAACAUGACAACACAACUAGCUGGAAUUCUCAGUGUAUUUUACUGGACUAAUUAGGCUGUCAAUAUUUCGGGACAGUGGAUUUGAGUUGAAUAGUCUGCUGUAGUUUGGGAUCUGCUUCAAGUAAUAUCAGACAAGUUGUGGUCAUGAUCCAAUAUUUUCAUAAUAUACUUUGAAAUUAGCAUUGCAGGUGUGUUGGUGAAAAUGUUUGUAGUCAUCCUUAUAUAAUGUGUCAUGAUUGAAAUACAAAUGUAAUGCUUUUUCAUCCAUGUUUGGAGUUAUCUUCUACCAUUAACUGCUUUCAGACCUCGUCAUGCUGAUCAUGGUGAACGAAAAUAUGUGAAGAUCAUUGACCUGACACUUUAAAAUCUUUUGAUUGGGGGUAUAGUUUUAAUUUGUGAUUGGAAAUAAAUGUUUUGUUUUCAUACCAGUCAAUCUGAUUACUCUUACCAUUACGAUUGCAGUUCUAUUUGUAGGUUGUUUUAAUGUUUGUCACAGUUUUCCUGAAAUUUGAGAUCCCAUUUACUAGUUUCAGAGGCAAAGCUGUGUGAUGGGUCUGGAACUGAAGUUGAUUAUAUUAUAUAUUAUAUUAUGAGGAGGUGGUGACACGGCCAGACCUUGGUGUUUUCAAGCUCACGCUGACCAAUGAUGCUAAAGAUGUCUCUGGCAGUACUGUGAUGGGUGGUUCAGACCAUGAGUCAGUUGAUACGAUCAUAUUGAGCGGGGAUGGAAGCCCCUCACGAAAGCGUCAAAGAUAUGAUGACGAAGCAAAACAUUAAUAGAGAGCAUACUGAAGAAAAAGCCUGGUGGAGAGGUUGUCAUCAAGGAAUACUCCAAAACUGACUGCACCAGACUAAAGAGGAUCAACAUUCUUGUUUCGGCGAUGACGGCGACUCAUGGGCCAUCAUCACCGCGUGAGAGAAACAUUUGUACAAGGCAUCAUCUCCUUGUCCCUAUACCUAAAGGAUUCCUACACAACAAAUGGAUAUGAACAUUACUACGACCCUAAUAGUGGAGAAGGGUACCUUCAGAGGAAUUCAGAGGAAUUUGAGGAAUUCAGAGGAAUUUGGCUUCAUCAGAGAAACGGCCCACUCAACUAUACUCUGGAGGGCCAACUGCUUAGAGGGAGUCCAGUCCAUCCACUUUGGCUACCCUGAGGGAAGACCAGUGCAGAGAGGCCAUUUAUCUUAUGAAGCAUUCUUCUGAUGAAGAAACAGUCAAAACAGAAGAUGAAAUUGACCUUUGAGUACAGGAAGAUGACCUACGACCCGAGUAAAUGCUCCACCAUCCUAACCGAAUUUCCACGCUUUCUUGAUGUGAAGGGUUUGAUAUUGAACAUGAUUUUGUGCUGCUGUUUGGAGAAGGAACAUCAGUCAAGUUUUUGGAGAGGUGGCCAACUACAUUCAAGCAAAAUAUCAUCCUUCUAAGCAAGACCCUAAGCAAGGCAGAAUCUGCAGUUGAUGAGGGAGCUGAGGGAUGAGGGAGCUGACACGAAUGCUGAUGGUUACCGAAACACCACUUCAUGAUACAUUAUCCCCGUUGUAUGCGCUAAGAGGCAAAACAUAAUUUCUUUAAAAAGCAACUGAAGAGUUUUAAGAAUUUCACUAUGACCUUAGCCAAGAAACAACAAAAUGUCAUGGCAUAUAAUUGGGAAACGUUCAGCCAGGGUAGACUAGCUAUCAGCCAGGGUAGACUAGCUAUCAGCCAGGGUAGACUAACUAUAGGUCCAGGAAAGAUGUCAAGGCUCAAUGACCUGAAUGAAAGCCAAGAGAUUGCUACCAAGUUGAAUGUCUCAGUGCACACAAAUGUUUUGUCAGUUAAAUGGGUUAAGCACCAUGGUACAGAAUAUCGUCUUGAUUUGGCCAUAUGUGGUGAAGUAGUCAUUGAAGUGCCAGUAUUUUACAAAAGUAAGGCUAUUGUUCUGAAAGAGGAAAAUGAUUUUUUGGUUAGGUCAGCUCUUGAAAUCUUAUGUUUUGUUGAUCAUUUGCAUGCAUUUGAAGUUGUUUUGAAGCCAAGUCCACCAUGCAAGGUAUUUCAUAUAAAUGACAUCAUGUACCACAAACCUUUUGAUUUGCUCAUGUCAAAUGGAGCAAGGGAUUCUUUUGACUACAUUGUCCCCACCUGUCACUUGAUAACAGUUUAAGCCAGGGCUGAUACUUAUGGUUAGGUUGUGAAAAACAUAUUUGUUUUGAAUGUAAAUGUUAGCAUUUUCCAACAAACCUAUUGAUUUGCUCAUGUUAUAUGGAGCAAGGGAUUCUUUUGACUAGAUUCUACUCUCACUUGAUAACAGUUUAAGCCAGGGCUGGGACUUAUGGUUUGGUCAUAAUGAACAUAUUUUAAUCUUGAAACAGCUUUGAUUGAGUUUAUUGUGAAAUUCCUAGUGCCUUUAUAACAUCUAAUUUCCAUUUACAUGGGAGAAGAGUAAAUACAUUAACACUGAAUAGAGUAAACACAUUUUUACUCUAAUACUCGAAUAGUGUCAAUUUAACACUUAAAGUGUUGAAUACCUCAGUGUUCAUUUUGAUCAACACCGGCCAGUGUAGUGCAGUGUUAACUUUCUGCACUCUGUGUUAAAACACUAGAAAUGUAACACUUUGAUCAGUGUACUUUUUACUCUGUGUAGAGUGGGACCAUAUGUACUCGCUGACAGUGUUAAAUUGAACACUUAAAGUGUUGAUUUAACACUUUCAAAUUUACUGUGUAGGUAGACACCAACACCAUAAUAGGGAGGAGACUGCUGGUUCAUAAAUGUGACCUGAACAACAUUUGAAAACCGUACCCCUUCAAUACAAUGGUUUAAAAUACAUGGGGGGUUCAUAGGUGCUCUGCUGUGAUAGGCUAAAAUAAAUGCUGUUUAGUGAUCACCAGAGAGGAGAAAGGAAGGAGGGGAGGCAGGAAGGAAGAUAUGAGAUGCACUGACUGCUUUGCUUUCUGUUUGCUGUUUCCCUGGUGACCAAGCCAUAUCUGAUGAUGUCAUGGCUGCGAGGGUGUGUGAGAGACGCUGAUAUCGUAAAUACUGUCCUUAACUAGGUCAUAAUAUAAGCUUCCUACACCACUCCCAGACCCCUCCCUCUUCAAGUAGAGACUUAUCAACAUACACUUCCCACCUUUUUAAAAUCCUAACUCCUUACAGCUGUACAAGACCCCACCAUAGUGCCCUCCGUAUGAACUGAGGCAGGAGCGUGAGGCCAGUGUAAAUGUUGCUGACUUGACAGAGAGCCAGGAGAAGCCAGUCUUCAGAACUUUGCCGCAGUCAGAGAAAGCAUCAGGACAUGUUUCCGUUUUUCAGGAAUAAAGUAUUUUCAAACUAGCUCGUUUACCAUUAAAAACAAAUGUGGGGACUCCAUUCAGGUGUCUUUUUACCCCUGCUACGUUAGGUUAGUUCACACAAACGUUACAUUCAACCACAGCUAGAGGGAAAUCAGUCAGACCGUUAUGCCUCGUGUUCCGAUGGUAAACAUGUCAAAACAUGUUAAAGUGUGUAUAUUUUGGCUGUAAACAAGGUGUCUACGAGGGCAGUGUCAUUCCAUUCAGGGGUUACAUGGUUUUAGUGGGUAGGCUGUCAUUGUAAAUAAGAACAUUCUUGACUUGCCUAGUUAAAGGUGAAAUAAAAUAAAAAU